UUAUCGGAGAGUUUGAUCCUGGCUCAGGACGAACGCUGGCGGCGUGCCUAAUACAUGCAAGUCGAGCGGACAGAUGGGAGCUUGCUCCCUGAUGUUAGCGGCGGACGGGUGAGUAACACGUGGGUAACCUGCCUGUAAGACUGGGAUAACUCCGGGAAACCGGGGCUAAUACCGGAUGGUUGUUUGAACCGCAUGGUUCAAACAUAAAAGGUGGCUUCGGCUACCACUUACAGAUGGACCCGCGGCGCAUUAGCUAGUUGGUGAGGUAACGGCUCACCAAGGCGACGAUGCGUAGCCGACCUGAGAGGGUGAUCGGCCACACUGGGACUGAGACACGGCCCAGACUCCUACGGGAGGCAGCAGUAGGGAAUCUUCCGCAAUGGACGAAAGUCUGACGGAGCAACGCCGCGUGAGUGAUGAAGGUUUUCGGAUCGUAAAGCUCUGUUGUUAGGGAAGAACAAGUACCGUUCGAAUAGGGCGGUACCUUGACGGUACCUAACCAGAAAGCCACGGCUAACUACGUGCCAGCAGCCGCGGUAAUACGUAGGUGGCAAGCGUUGUCCGGAAUUAUUGGGCGUAAAGGGCUCGCAGGCGGUUUCUUAAGUCUGAUGUGAAAGCCCCCGGCUCAACCGGGGAGGGUCAUUGGAAACUGGGGAACUUGAGUGCAGAAGAGGAGAGUGGAAUUCCACGUGUAGCGGUGAAAUGCGUAGAGAUGUGGAGGAACACCAGUGGCGAAGGCGACUCUCUGGUCUGUAACUGACGCUGAGGAGCGAAAGCGUGGGGAGCGAACAGGAUUAGAUACCCUGGUAGUCCACGCCGUAAACGAUGAGUGCUAAGUGUUAGGGGGUUUCCGCCCCUUAGUGCUGCAGCUAACGCAUUAAGCACUCCGCCUGGGGAGUACGGUCGCAAGACUGAAACUCAAAGGAAUUGACGGGGGCCCGCACAAGCGGUGGAGCAUGUGGUUUAAUUCGAAGUAACGCGAAGAACCUUACCAGGUCUUGACAUCCUCUGACAAUCCUAGAGAUAGGACGUCCCCUUCGGGGGCAGAGUGACAGGUGGUGCAUGGUUGUCGUCAGCUCGUGUCGUGAGAUGUUGGGUUAAGUCCCGCAACGAGCGCAACCCUUGAUCUUAGUUGCCAGCAUUCAGUUGGGCACUCUAAGGUGACUGCCGGUGACAAACCGGAGGAAGGUGGGGAUGACGUCAAAUCAUCAUGCCCCUUAUGACCUGGGCUACACACGUGCUACAAUGGACAGAACAAAGGGCAGCGAAACCGCGAGGUUAAGCCAAUCCCACAAAUCUGUUCUCAGUUCGGAUCGCAGUCUGCAACUCGACUGCGUGAAGCUGGAAUCGCUAGUAAUCGCGGAUCAGCAUGCCGCGGUGAAUACGUUCCCGGGCCUUGUACACACCGCCCGUCACACCACGAGAGUUUGUAACACCCGAAGUCGGUGAGGUAACCUUUUAGGAGCCAGCCGCCGAAGGUGGGACAGAUGAUUGGGGUGAAGUCGUAACAAGGUAGCCGUAUCGGAAGGUGCGGCUGGAUCACCUCCUUU
rnacentral:rRNA from 1 species